CAUAGAAUAUCACCCUAACCCAGGUCAGAUAGGGUAUUAAAACAAAAUAACUAGAACCCCCCCCCACGGCCAAUCUACUUCCAUCUGGAUUCAAGGAGACCAUUCUGAGGGCAGCAGUGUCACUAAGGCCAUUUUUGUUCCAGCUCUCUGGCAUCUGGAACUCAGCUCAGCACAGAUACAUGCACAUGUGCACAUACCCACACAUUUGGGUUCUUGCCUAAAGAAGGCAGAGAAGGGAAAAACUGUAAGGAAAGCCAGAAGAAUACAUGGGACGACCAGAGAAAGUUCAGAGUAGAUGGUGAAGAUAUUUUCCUUUGGAACCAUGGAAUUUCAAAAAAAGGUUGGAGUUUUAAUGAUGAAGCUCUGAUGGCGAGGGGUUGGGCUGCUGCAGGCCUGCACUUUGGCUGACUAGCGAAGGAGCCCUGGCUGUGUAAUGAACUCCCAGUGGAUUGUGGGAGUAAUGCGGCGCUGUUUCUGUGCCUGCUUCCCAGGGAAUGUCGAGCAGCCGCUUGGCCCGCCGCUUGCCAGGCCGAGGUCUGUGUGAGCAGAUAAAGUGGAGGGACUGAGGGACUGGGUAACAGCUGUGCUGGGCCGGAGCUGACUGGGAGAGGCUGAUAAGGGCCCGGCAAGGAGAAGGAGCGGGCAUCAUGGCACCGCCAGAAAUCUGACAGGAUAUCACAACUGGCAAAGAAAGUUAAACACAACUGGUUUGGGGGGAUGGGAGAGGAGAGCUGUUGAGAAA